rnacentral:rRNA from 1 species
UACGUAGGGAGCGAGCGUUGUCCGGAAUUACUGGGUGUAAAGGGAGCGUAGACGGCGCGGCAAGUCUGAAGUGAAAGGCAGGGGCUUAACCCCUGAACUGCUUUGGAAACUGCCAUGCUAGAGUGCUGGAGAGGUAAGUGGAAUUCCUAGUGUAGCGGUGGAAUGCGUAGAUAUUAGGAGGAACACCAGAGGCGAAGGCGACUCACUGGACUGUAACUGACGCUGAGGCUCGAAAGCGUGGGGAGCAAACAGG